rnacentral:lncRNA from 10 species
GAUUUGUAGCUUUUGUUGAUUUUCAUGAUGUAAUGCUUCUGUCCUGGCCGAUUGCAAGCUGUCAGGGUGAAGUCACAGAAAGGGCAUUUGGGAAGUGAUGUGCACACAGCACUCGUGAGCUGUGGUGAGCUGACUCUAGCACACCAUGACUACAUACAGCUUAUAGCUGUUCCUUUCUCUGGGGAAUUGCCUCCUGACUGAAGACUGUCGCCUUUCAGGCUUCACCUAUGGUUACCUGUAAAUAAUGACCAACUGAUAUGGGUGUACAAAAUUCCAGUCCCCUUGCCUCAAGAAUUCUUGUGUAGAGUCAAUGUUCCAAGAUGCUAGACUAUAUACGUCCCAUGGCUGUUCCAACGAAGAAGGUAAGCAUGCCCCAGUCAGAAAAGCCUGAAUAAACCUGAAAGCCACUCAAAGCCUGAGUGCUCAACUUUCAACUCGACAAUGAGCAGUGUGUGUUGCCAAUCCUCAGAGACUGUCUAUGAGAAAACUAAGAUUUGGAGCACAAAGUAAUUUGCUGAAGGUCAAAAAGCAGUUAAUGCUGGAACCAAGAGCCCCACAUCUCUGGAUUUUCAGGCAGGUUUCUCUGCUUGCCCAUGUUGCCUGCCCAGCUUCUGAGGACAACGUUGACUGUCCUGUGAAUUGGGAUCACUCAGUCAAAUGCCUCUGCUGAUACCCCAAGGUUGAAUGGCAGUUUGUUUAGCAUGGCAGCUUUCAGACUCCAAGUGUUUCUGAGUGUGUGUUAGAAACCACCAUUUCAUCCAAAACUGGCCGAAGUGGAGAAUUGUUUUGUACUUCCCAGCUGUAUUUCCUUGAAAAUAGAUGGUCUGAGAAUGCCCUCUGGUGCCUUCCUACUGUGUCUUCAAGCACUUUAGAGGCAGGAGGUGGCUGUGGGAAAGGAUGAAGAAAAGCUAGGCUCCUGGAAAUGGUUUUUUCUCUCAAAAAAUGUGGCGUGGGCAUACUGUCAGCAAACCGUGGCAGGAUUCGACCAGGAAGUUGGAUAAAAACAUAAUGUGUGGUUAUGCCGCCUCUGUUGCAUUUGCCUUUUUUUCUCUAACAAUGAAUAUAAUUCUUUUUAAUUGCACAAUUAUUUAAAUACUUAUUCAAGUCAUAUUAUAUUAAUACAAGGCAUAGAAACAAUAACAAAUUGGUAGGCAUAAAAAUCUCUGACACAAUUUGAAUUUAGGCAUAUCCUUUUCUGGUUUUCUGCAUAAUAUGAUUACCAUUUCCCAAGAACAUGAGCAAAAGCACACUCCCUGGGUCCUCAGAAUGGAGCGCACCU